rnacentral:tRNA from 1 species
GGCCCCGUGGUGUAGUGGACUAACACGCCAGCCUGUCACGCUGGAGAUCGAGGGUUCGAAUCCCUUCGGGGUCG